UUGUCUGAAUUCCUAACCGGUGAGCUUAUGGCUCUAAGUGAAUUUGAAGGCAUUGUUCAGAAAGAUGAUGGUGCCUGUCAAUUAACUGAACAACUGUGUAUCUAUUGAGAUGAGUUGCUGAAGUUAUUACUCAAUACUGAAUCGACUAUUCUAAUUACCUCAUAUAAGUGGAUUCAAACAUCAUUUAUUCUUGGCAUCUGGCUUACC